AAAGUCGUAACAAGGUUUCCGUAGGUGAACCUGCGGAAGGAUCAUUAUUGAUUGUGAAUCGUUGCCUCCAGUGCUGGCUCUCGCAAGUGCACGGUUGGUGACUUUCAUCCAACACCCUGUGAACCUUUGGCCUCUUGCUAGCUUCGGCUGGCAGAGGAUUUUUACACACACUCGAAUGUAAUGAAAUUAUUGUCGUGCGCAAGCACUUAUGUACAACUUUCAACAACGGAUCUCUUGGCUCUCGCAUCGAUGAAGAACGCAGCGAAAUGCGAUAAGUAAUGUGAAUUGCAGAAUUCAGUGAAUCAUCGAAUCUUUGAACGCACCUUGCACCCUUUGGCAUUCCGAAGGGUAUGCUCGUUUGAGUGUCAUUGUACUCUCACACUUCUGAUCCUUUGGAUUUGGAGCGGUGGACUUGGGUGUUGCCACUUGACGGUGGCUCACCUCUAAUGCAUUAGUGCAACUCCUGGUUGGACCAUAGUACGGCGUGAUAAGUGUCUUCGCCGGCACCUCGUGAGAGGGUGGCCGAUCGAGAGCUCUGUGCUUUCAAACCGUCCUUGCAAGGACAAUGACUGACAACUUGACCUCAAAUCGAGUAGGACUACCCGCUGAACUUAAGCAUAUCAAUAAGCGGAGGAAAAGAAACUAACAAGGAUU
rnacentral:rRNA from 1 species